rnacentral:rRNA from 1 species
GGCCAGACUCCUACGGGAGGCCGCAGUGGGGCCUCUUGCACAAUGGGUGCCACCCUGAUGCCGCGACGCCGCGUGCGCGAUGAAGUCUUUCGGUAUGUAACGCUCUCUCAGCAGGGCCGCCGAUGACGGUCCCUGACUAAGACGCCCUGGCUAACUACGUGCCAGCAGCCGCGGUCAUACGUAGGGGGCCCGCGUUAUCCGGCUUUACUGGGUGUAAAGGGAGCGGAGACGGCGAUGCAAGCCAGAUGUGAAAGCCCGGGGCUCAACCCCGGGACUGCAUUUGGAACUGUGUGGCUGGAGGGGCGGAGAGGCAGGCGGAAUUCCUGGGGGAGCGGUGAAAGGCGGAGAUAUCAGGAGGAACACCGGCGGAGAAGGCGGCCUGCGGGACCGCGACUGACGUUGAGGCUCGAAAGCGUGGGGAGCAAACAGGAUUAGAUCCCCGAGUA